CUCCAACCCCAUGUGAACCUCAUACCAGUCGUUGCUUCGGCGGUACCGCCCCGGCGCCCUCGGGCCCGGAACCAGGCGCCCGCCGGAGGCCCGCAAACUCUCCGUGUAUACCGCCCCCCCGGCGGUGGCAUUAUCUGAGUGACAAAAAAAACGCAUCAAAACUUUCAACAACGGAUCUCUUGGUUCUGGCAUCGAUGAAGAACGCAGCGAAAUGCGAUAAGUAAUGUGAAUUGCAGAAUUCAGUGAAUCAUCGAAUCUUUGAACGCACAUUGCGCCCGCCAGUAUUCUGGCGGGCAUGCCUGCCCGAGCGUCAUUUCAACCCUCGCGCCCGCUGGGAAACCGGCGAGCGCGGUGUUGGGGACGGGCGCGGGGUCGCGAGACCCCGCCCGCCGCCCCCCAAAUGCAGUGGCGGUCCCGCCGGCGCCUUCCCCGCGUAGUAGCAUACACCUCGCGGCCGGGAGCGCUGGCGCGGCACCUACGCCGUAAAACCCCCCGACGAAUCGCCCACCACGGCGAGAUAGUUUGACCUCGGAUCAGGUAGGAAUACCCGCUGAACUUAAGCAUAUCAAA
rnacentral:rRNA from 1 species